UCCAGAGGUCUCAAGCGUUGUUCGGAUUCAUUGGGCGUAAAGGGUGCGUAGGUGGCGCGCUAAGUCAGGUGUGAAAUUUCGGAGCUUAACUCCGAAACUGCAUUUGAUACUGGCGUGCUUGAGGACUGGAGAGGAGACUGGAAUUCAUGGUGUAGCAGUGAAAUGCGUAGAGAUCAUGAGGAAGACCAGUGGCGAAGGCGGGUCUCUGGACAGUUCCUGACACUGAGGCACGAAGGCCAGGGGAGCAAACGGG
rnacentral:rRNA from 1 species